UUGGAGGGCAAGUCUGGUGCCAGCAGCCGCGGUAAUUCCAGCUCCAAUAGCGUAUAUUAAAGUUGUUGCAGUUAAAAAGCUCGUAGUUGAAUUUCGGGGUUCCACCGUUGGUCGGGCUAUUGUCUGUACUGGCGUGUGGAAUUUCUACCUUCUGGGGAACUAUCAUGUUAUUAAUUUAGCGUGGUAGGAAACCAGGACCUUUACCUUGAAAAAAUUAGGGUGUUCAAAGCAGGCUUAUGUCUGAAUACAUUAGCAUGGAAUAAUAAAAUAGGACGGUGGUCCUGUUUUGUUGGUUUCUGAAUCACCGUAAUGAUUAAUAGGGAUAGUUGGGGGCAUUAGUAUUCAAUUGUCAGAGGUGAAAUUCUUGGAUUUAUUGAAGACUAACUACUGCGAAAGCAUUUGCCAAGGAUGUUUUCAUUAAUCAAGAACGAAAGUUAGGGGAUCGAAGACGAUCAGAUACCGUCGUAGUCUUAACCAUAAACUAUGCCGACUAGGGAUCGGACGAUGUUAACUUUUCUUGACUCGUUCGGCGCCUUACGGGAAACC
rnacentral:rRNA from 1 species